CACAGUAAACGUCGUCAUUAAUUGUUUGUAUGCGGAUACAUUAGUCUGAGUGCACUUUGACGUGCUAGCCUAGCCUGCUGGUUAGCUUAGCUUGUUAGCUGCUAACAAAGAGAGGCGGAAGUGAUCGACACAUCAAAGCAGAGAUCCAAUACGUCUGUGAAGAACAUCUUCACCCUGAGCAACAGAAGUGGAGCUUCAGGAUGCAGACGGAGGAAACACAGCCCUCCCACAUUAAGAUGGAAGAGGAAUACACACUGAUGCCCCAUUUUAAAAAGGAAGAGGAGGACCCACUGACACCCCUUUUUAAAGAGGAAGAGGAGGACCCACUGACACCCCUUUUUAAAGAGAAAUCAGUGGACCCACUGAGUUCUCACAUUAAAGAGGAAGAGGAGGAACACCGCAUCAGUCAGCAGGGAGAGCAUCUUGAAGGACUGGAGGAGGUUGAUGUCACCAAGAUGCCAGUGACUGGUGUCCCUGUGAAGAGUGAAGAUGAUGAGGUGAAAGGUGAAAGUGAGGAGAGGGGAGGGGGGGAGCCUCCAAGCAGCAGCUCAACACAACACAUGACAACAGAAGCUGAUGGAGACCACUGUGGAGGAUCACAAGCAGACAAGCUCUUAGCUCCACUAUCAGAUAGUGAGGACACAACGUCACACUCUCCUGACACUGAUGAUGAAGACUCUAAAGAUGAUAAGACAUGUCACACUGACAACACUCACUUCACAUCUUCUCUCUGUCACAAAACUUUUAAAUAUCCUAGUUAUUUGAAAAGACGCAUGAGAACACACACCGGAGAAAAACCUUUUUCCUGCUCAGAAUGUGGUAAAUAUUUUACUCUAAGGAUCAAUUUGAAAGUACACAUGAGAAUACACACUGGAGAAAAACCUUUUUCCUGCUCAGAAUGUGGUAAAAGUUUCAUAACAAAUCAUACCUUAAAAGAACACAUGGGAACAUACAAUGGAGAAAGACCUUUUUUAUGUUCAAUCUGUGGUAAAGAUUUUACUCGAAGGCACUAUUUAAAAACACACAUGAGUACACACACUGGAGAAAAACCUUACACAUGUUCAGUAUGUUGUAAAAGUUUUAUACAAACUACGUAUUUGAAAAGACACAUGAGAACACACACAAGUGAGAAAGUGUUGAGUUGCAGUGUGUGUGGUGAAAGAUUGUCUUCUAAGUAGCAGUGUAAGAAACACAAGUGUGCUGGUGAGAACAGCAGCAGCAAAUGAAACUGCAGGAUUUGAAAUAAACUGUCAAAUCUUUAACUUUGACCUUCUAACAACACCAGCACAUAGAUGCUAACAUUAAUAGAUUUGAUGUAUCAGUUAAUUGCUAUUUUCAGUCAAGUACAUGUUUAAUAUACAACAUGGUGUACUUUUAUUUAAAAAUGAACACAACACUUUGACUGCAAAGGUGAGAAUAAACAGGACAAAUCCUGUUAGAAAUACUUGUGUAUAGAUAUAUUCAGAUAUCAUUUUUAAUUAUUAAUGAUGUUAUAGAUGAACUCCUUUAUAUGAUGUACAUAUUUGUUUUACAUGUGUUCAUACCUUUGCUUUUGAGUACACAUAAAUCCCUCUUAGUUCAUAUUUACUGAUUCGCAUCUGAAACAUCUUCUGGACCACUUCUGGAAGCAUAUUAUUAUUUACUUUAUACAUCAUUUCAGCAGUUGUCUUUUAUACAAGAUCAUUUACUUUUAAAAUGUGUGACUUUAUGAAUCAUUUGUUGGGUCUCAAUAAUCAAUUUUUUUAAUUAAUCUGUAUUACUUUCUUUUGUAAUAUGAAUAUUGUUUUAUAUGUAUGUUCCCUUCAUGCAAUAAGUAGAUUUGAGAAAAUGGCAACAAAUGUUGAAGGUUAUGAAGGAUAAUUUAGUUUUUAAUAAUGUAGAUUUCUUAUUAAAAAACUACACAUGAC